UACGUAGGGUGCGAGCGUUGUCCGGAAUUAUUGGGCGUAAAGAGCUUGUAGGCGGUUUGUCGCGUCUGCCGUGAAAAUCCGGGGCUCAACUCCGGACUUGCGGUGGGUACGGGCAGACUAGAGUGUGGUAGGGGAGACUGGAAUUCCUGGUGUAGCGGUGAAAUGCGCAGAUAUCAGGAGGAACACCGAUGGCGAAGGCAGGUCUCUGGGCCACUACUGACGCUGAGAAGCGAAAGCGUGGGGAGCGAACAGG
rnacentral:rRNA from 1 species